AGCAGCCGCGGUAAUUCCAGCUCCAAUAGCGUAUAUUAAAGUUGUUGCAGUUAAGAAGCUCGUAGUUGAAUUUCGGGAUCAAUAUGUUGGUCGUGCCUCGGUACGUACUGGCAUUAUUGGUUUCUACCUUCUGAAGAACCUCGAUGUCAUUAAUUUGGUGUCUUGGGGAAUCAGGACUGUUACUUUGAAAAAAUUAGAGUGUUUAAAGCAGGCUCACGCUUGAAUACAUUAGCAUGGAAUAAUGAAAUAGGACGUUUGAUUCUAUUUUGUUGGUUUCUAGGAUUGACGUAAUGAUUAAUAGGGAUAGUUGGGGGCAUUAGUAUUCAAUUGUCAGAGGUGAAAUUCUUGGAUUUAUUGAAGACUGACUACUGCGAAAGCAUUUGCCAAGGAUGUUUUCAUUAAUCAAGAACGAAAGUUAGGGGAUCGAAGACGAUCAGAUACCGUCGUAGUCUUAACCAUAAACUAUGCCGACUAGGGAUCGGAUGAUGUUAUUUUUAAUGUA
rnacentral:rRNA from 1 species